GCCAUCGACUUUUGAACUGGCAAUGAAUAUCGGAAUGUCUUAGGCGCACAAGAUAAGCCGAUAUAUCAAUCGAUUGAAAAUACGCGCUUUUUAAAAAGAACAUCGACGGCGCGAUAGUGGCGCAGCGGUGAUACGCAGUGCUACGUGCUACGUGCUACAUCGAAGGUAUAACGUUUUGUCCUUGUCUUUCGAAGCUUGUUUUUGAGACCAUGUCGAGCACAAGUGCGUGUAGUACGUAUAAUUUAUUAACGAAAUGGGGAUUUUCUCCUGAAAUAAUAGCGAACUUUACAGGUAAGUAAGUCAAUUUAUUUUUGAUAAAAAUGGUAAGAGUAACGUAUAACUUGGACUCGUUUGGACGAGGGGAGUGAAAUCUGAGGAAUGAAGGGAAAAUCCAUUGCAACCAUCUUGAUUGAUGAGAUUUUGCGUACAUAUAACACACGAUAUAUCUAUUUUCACGUCCCAUUGACAUGGUUUUAACCGAGCCAUCGUUGGGAUUUAAGCUCAAGAAAUUGAAGCAGAUCAAUUAAAUAUUUUAACGGAAGAAGAUCUUAAGAGUUUAAUCCCAAACAUAGGACCGCGAAGAAAAUUUCAAAGUAUUGUGAAACAAUAUCUAAAAUGAAAGAGAGAUUCAACAGUUACAUCCGGAAGAAAAUUCUAAUACAAUUAAUCAUGAACAACAGUCACUAGCUGCACAACAAGAACAAGUAGAAAAUCUUAUAAAGCAGAAAAAUAUAGAGAGCAAUAUACACAAUCAAGAUAUUAUAUACUACCUACAAUCAUUGCCUGAAACUCAGCAGAGUAUUUCGGACAAUGUCUCUGUCGCUACUAGUGAACUUAAUGAUGUAUUACUUGAAAAUAAAGAAAAUCAAUUAGGGGUGAAACGACAUCUGACUGAUGAUGAAUAUAAUCUUGAAGCUGUGUUAAAAAAAUCUGAAGAAGGCUUAUUGGUGCUAAGUUCAUACCAAAAAGAAAAAAGGUUGAAUAAUGAUAUGCGAAAUAAGCUUGCAAAACUAAUUGUU